UUUGUAGGUGGCUUGCUAAGUCAGACGUGAAAUCCCUCAGCUUAACUGGGGAACUGCGUCUGAGACUGGUGAGCUUGAGUGCAGGAGAGGAACGCGGAAUUCCAGGCGUAGCGGUGAAAUGCGUAGAUAUCUGGAGGAACACCGGUGGCGAAGGCGGCGUUCUGGACUGCAACUGACACUGAUGAACGAAAGCCAGGGGAGCAAAC
rnacentral:rRNA from 1 species